UGCAGUGGUCCCAACCGUCAUCACCUCCCCCCGCCCCUUUCAAGUGGAUUCGUCCAUACUGUUUUCGGACCUAACGUGGGAAAUAACCCGAGGAAUUAAAGUGACAGGGAACGUAGUUGGCUGAGAAUGUAUAAAAAGUGACAUUAAAAGACUGAAAUACGCGAUAAGGUGGAGCACAAAAGGUCGGAGGGGUUUGAAAAACGUGCCUGCGGUCUUGAAGAGGAGGAGGAGGAGGAGGAGGAGGAGGAGAUGCUUUACCCUGACAGAAGAGCUGAAGCACCUGGCUGCCUUUCAACAGGAGAACAGGAGCAAGAGGAGGCCGCAGCUGAGGACCUCACUGUCACAGCAGGACCCUGAACUACACAAAAGUCACCGGAUCCCCAGAGAGCAUUUCUCACAACUUUGCAAACACGUUCUGUUUUGAUGUGUCUGUUUUUUGAUGACGCAGUACGUUUCAGUGAUCAAGGGCAGUUCAGAAGAGGACAGUAAAGCCAUGAGGUGACACACCAUUGUUUUCCCCCAGUAUUCCUCCCUUGUGCAUUUUGAUUCCUGCCAGAGAAAGGAUGGGCCCAUUGAAGUGCUGUAUGAGAGAGGCCAUUAGACACUGAGCUGGUCAUCACUCUACUGUGAAAGGCAUUCUACUGAUGUGCCGUCCUUCAUCCAAGUUAACUUUUGCAGAAUAUGUAUGCAUUUUGGUGUCUGCUGGAUUCAAAUAUAUGGCUCCAAAAA